GUUGCCAGAUAACUGUGAGGUGGAACCUAGAAGGAAAGCCAACAGCUAGUCUUCCCUUGUUCCUCAUGGCAGUCAUGUCAGGGAACUAUUGUGUACAUGCCUAUCAUUACUAAGAGAAGCAAGUGAGGCCUUCAGUUUUGAGGAGCUUGUCUAAGAUCCUAAAUAGAAGGUGACGCGCAUGCGUGCUUAAGAAACGGUCUGGUCCUUGUCUGUUUCCGCUUCUUCCCGAGUCUUCUGCUAACCCUUCCAUCCCUACUGAUGCACAGGCUAUUUGUGGUAGAUCCUUGAAAGGACCCAGGAUGAGAGCCCAGAGACACUGGGUGGUGGGAGUGAAGGAGCUGUCUAUAAGCAACAACAAGAAGGAAUGA
rnacentral:lncRNA from 1 species